rnacentral:rRNA from 1 species
GACGAACGCUGGCGGCGUGGAUUAGGCAUGCAAGUCGAACGGUAGGAUACCUUCGGGUAUCUGAGAGUGGCGAACGGGUGAGUAACACGUAGGUGAUCUACCCUCAAGAUUGGGACAACCCAGGGAAACUUGGGCUAAUACCGGAUGAAAGCAGCAGUGAUGUUGUUUGAAAGGUGGCGUAAGCUGCCGUUUGGGGAUGAGCCUGCGCUCUAUUAGUUAGUUGGCGGGGUAAAGGCCCACCAAGGCGAUGAUAGAUAGGCGGCCUUAACGGGUGGUCGCCCACACUGGGAUUGAGAUACGGCCCAGACUCCUACGGGAGGCAGCAGUCGAGAAUAGUCUACAAUGGCCGAAAGGCUGAUAGUGCGACGCCGCGUGAACGAAGAAGCCCUUCGGGGUGUAAAGUUCUUUUAUAUGUGAGCAGUGCUUUCUAUGUGAACAGCAGUGGGGAGAGAGAUAUUAGCAUAUGAAUAAGCAACGGCUAACGUCCGUGCC